rnacentral:lncRNA from 1 species
UAGGAAUUUCAGUGCAAUUCCGUGAGGUGGUGCUGACCUUAGAUGAGAAAUACGUGGCCAGGCUAUAAGGACUACAUGUAGAAUUGAGAUGGGACAGUGUACGUAUGGACUGUGAGGGGAAAGAAAAGGUAAAUGUGUGAAAGGAAAGAGAUUGGUGCAUGGUCAUGACAGUCUGACAGCUUAGACAUUUCAGAGGCAUUGUUUAUGAGAAAGGGGAUAGGGACACAUAGGUCUGAUGACAACCAAAGCCCUUUGAUGAUGCCAUCUGUCACUCAAGGCUCCCCACAGCCUGCCCAACCUGACUCUCCUGCCUGCUUCUCCACUGCCUACCUUCAACAAUCAAACUAUAUUUUUGUUACAGCAAACUACAUUCCAUUUGCCUUUAAAUGCUUGCAUUUUAGUUAUUGUACUGGCUACCUGUUUUUGUCUGCCCAGCAUCCUGUUUCCCCUCCUUUUGGAUCCUCUCCUAGCCAAUUCCAUGUCUUGAAUCCUUUCCUGCUCCUUGUUAAAAUUAUUUUCUGCUUUGUGUGAGUCCCUGUAAGCACCAGCAGCUCAAUCAGCACUGUCUGUACCAUGGUCAAGAGAUGAGUACAUGACUCAGGUCAGACCUUAUUUCCCACCCCAUAAGCCACAAUGAUUAGACAAGAAAUAGGCACAGAACCCUAACUAGAUAGGGCAGAAGCCUUCCAUAGGAUUUUAUUUGCUGGCCCUGAAAUGCAGGUAGCCUUCUAUGGCUGUUAAACACAAUCCAGUGGCACAUGGGGUGAUAUGAGGAUGGAGCCAUCCAUGGCAAAACUCCACCCUUUCCUGUGACAUGGAUUAUGUGCAUCUGCCAUGAAAAGGAAGCAUACACAAGAAAUGAGCCAAGAGUUCCUGGAGAACUGAAGCAAGUAUCACCUCCAGAUCAGUUGUACUUUUAUUUGCUUACACUAUUCUGAGGUGGGUCUCUGUCUCUUGGAUCCAAAAGAGUUCAAAUUAAUAAUCAUUUGACAAAAAAUUACCUCCACAUUCCUAAUGAAGUUGUCUUUGAAGAUAAUGUCUUGUGAUCCCCUGGUUGAAGUUAAUUACUGCUUGUGAGCCCCCAUUAACAACGUGUUCCUUUCCCCAUUGCUUGCUUGUAUCAGCUUUGCUGAAGAUCUAUUGGCUGUAGGUGUGCAGCUUUAUUUCUGUGUUCUCUAUUGUGUUCCAUUGGUCUACGUGUCUGUUAUUGUACCAGUGCCGUGCUGUUUUGGUUACUGUGGUCUUAUAGUUUGAAGCCACAUCUGUGUGAUGCUGCUGGCUUUGUUCUUUCUGCUUUGGGUUGCUUUGGCUAUUCAGGCUCUUUCUUUGGUUCCAUCUGAAUUUUAGAAUAGUUGUUUUCUAAUUCUGUGAAAAUGUUCCAACCUCUGUGAAAAAUGAGGUUGGUAGUUUGAUAGGACAGCAUUGAUUCUGUAAAUUGCUUUGGGCAGUAUGGCCAUUUUUAAACUAUAUUGAUUCUUCCAAUCCAUGAACAUGGAAUGUUUUUCCAUUUUUUGGUUUCAUCCCUGAUUUCUUUCUGCCAUGUUUUGUAGUUCUCCUUGUAGAGAUCUUUCACCUCCUUGGUUAGGUGUAUUUUUAAGUAUUUCAGUUUUUUUAUGGCUAUUGUAAAUGGUAUUGGGUUCUUGAUUUGCUCUCAGCUUGAACGUUAUUGGUGUAUAGAAAUGCUCCUAAUUUUUGUGCAUUGAUUUUGUAUCCUGAAACUUGACUAAAGUUGUUUAUCAGUCUAGGAGCUUUUGGCAGAGUCUUCGGGGUUUUCUAGGUAUAAAAUCAUAUCAGCGAAGAGAGCUAGUUUGAUUUCUUUUCCCAGUUGGAUGCCUUUUAUUUAUUUCUCUUGCCUGAUUGCUCUAAGUUGAAUGGGAGCGAUGAGACUGGGCAUCCUCUUCUUAUUCCAGUUCUCAGAAGGAAUAGUUCCAGCUUUUGCUCAUCCAGUAUGAUGUCUGUGGGUUGGUUGUAGAUGGCUCUUAUUAUUUUGAGAUAUGUUCCUUUGAUACCUAGUCUGUUGAGGGGUUUUAUCAUGAGGGAUGUUGGAUUUUAUCCGUAUUCAAUAAAUGGUGUUGGGAUAACUGGCUAGCCCUAUGCAGAAGAAUGAAACUGGACCCCCCACCUUUCACCGUAUAUGAAAAUUAACUCAAGAUGGAUUAAAGAUUUAAAUGUAAGACCUCAAACUGUAAAAAUCCUAGAAGAAAACCUAGGAAAUACCCUUAUCAACAUCAGCCUUGGCAAAGAACUUUUGGCUAAGUCCCCAAAGGCAAUUGCAACAAAACAGAAAUUGGCAAGUGGGGACCUAAUUAAAGCACUCUGCACAGCAAAAGACACUAUCAACAGAGUAAACAGACAACAUACAGAAUUGGAGAAAAUAUUUGCAAACUAGACAUCCAACAAAGAUCUGACAUCCAGAAUCAAUAAGGAACUUAACAAGCAAAAAACAACCCCAUUAAAAAAUGGGUGAAGGACAUGAACAGACACUUCUCAAAAGAAGACAUACAAGCAAUCAACAAACGUGAAAAAAUGCUCAUCACUAAUCAUCAGAGAAAUGCAAAUCAAAACCACAAUAAGAUACCAUCUCACACCAGUUAGAAUGGCUAUUGUAAAGAAGUCUAAUAACAUGCCAGUAAGGUUUCAGAGAAAAGAGAACAUUUAUACACUGUUGUGGGAAUGUAAAUUAGUUCAGUCACUGUGGAAAGCAGUUUGGAGAUUUCUCAAAUAACUUAAAACAGAUCUACCAUUCAACCCAGCAUAUGGGUUUAUUUCCCAAAAGGAAAUAAAUCCUUCUACCAAAAACACAUAUGGUCAUCACAGUGCUAUUCACAGUAGCAAAGACAGAUCAACGUGGCUGCCCAUCAACAGUGGACUGGAUAAAGAAAAUGUGGUACAUAUAAAUCAUGGAGUAUUAGGCAGCCAUAAAAAGAACAAAAUCAUGUCCUUUGCAGCCAGCCACAUGGAUACAGCUGGAAGCCAUAAUCUAAGCAAAUUAAGAACAGAAAACCAAGUACUGCAUGUUCUAACAAAUGGGAGCUAAAUAUUGAGUACCUCAGGAUGCAAAGGUGGGAACAACAGACACUGCAGACUGGAACACUGUGGGUGAGGAGGGCAGAAGGAUAGGUUGAAAAACUACCUAUUGGGUACUAUGCUCACUACCUGGGUGAUGGGAUCUGUACCUCAAACCUCAGCAUCACACAAUAUACCCUUGUAACAAACUUGCACAUUUACCCACUGUUUCUAAAUGAAAAGUUGAAAUAUUUUUUAUUAAAAAACACAAAAGCAAUAUGUUUCUC